UACGUAGGUGGCAAGCGUUGUCCGGAUUUACUGGGCGUAAAGCGCGCGCAGGCGGCUGGCCAAGUCCGAUGUGAAAGCUUCCGGCUUAACUGGAAAACGGCAUCGGAUACUGGUCGGCUGGAAGGUGGGAGAGGCAAGCGGUACUUAGUGGGUAGGGGUAAAAUCCGUUGAUCCAUUGAAGACCACCAGUGGCGAAGGCGGCUUGCCAGAACGCGCUCGACGGUGAGGGAUGAAAGCUGGGGGAGCAAACCGG
rnacentral:rRNA from 1 species